rnacentral:rRNA from 1 species
AUUGAACGCUGGCGGAAUGCUUUACACAUGCAAGUCGAACGGCAGCACGGACCUCGGUCUGGUGGCGAGUGGCGAACGGGUGAGUAAUACAUCGGAACGUGCCCUGUAGUGGGGGAUAACUAGUCGAAAGAUUAGCUAAUACCGCAUACGACCUGCGGGUGAAAGUGGGGGACCGCAAGGCCUCCUGCUAUAGGAGCGGCCGAUGUCUGAUUAGCUAGUUGGUGGGGUAAAGGCCUACCAAGGCGACGAUCAGUAGCUGGUCUGAGAGGACGAUCAGCCACACUGGGACUGAGACACGGCCCAGACUCCUACGGGAGGCAGCAGUGGGGAACUUUGGACAAUGGGCGAAAGCCUGAUCCAGCAAUGCCGCGUGUGUGAAGAAGGCCUUCGGGUUGUAAAGCACUUUUGUCCGGAAAGAAAUGGCUCUGGUUAAUACCUGGGGUCGAUGACGGUACCGGAAGAAUAAGGACCGGCUAACUACGUGCCAGCCGCCGCAGUAA